UCAGGGGUAAACCUGUGGUUCCCGAAAGUUCGAACGGGGAGAUUCAAUUGCCUCACCGGUUAUGACCAUUUUGUAGUGUGUUUUAUAUAUGAGACAUUAUAUUAUCUUAUGGUAUUUAUUUACUGUUAGAUUUAUAUAGUGCUCCUCUACUUAAUGUUUAUUGUUUAUAGCCGGAGGCGUGCACUUCUCCCCUUGUAGGGCGUCGUGACCCAUUGGGGUUAUGUUGUUGUCUAAGGCUUAUAAUGGAGACCGUGGCGUUAUGUUUCGGCAUUAGCGACCCGGACUUAUAAUGUCCCGACAUCUACCCGAUGGUAUGUUGUAUUGAUGGUGGGUCGCUGCUUUAUAUAUAGAGCGAGCGUUCAGACCUAUGACAAAUAUUUGUAUGAUUUUUGUAUUUAUGUGGAAAUCGGACAUGUGCCGGUUCUACACAUAUAGUAUUGUUAGUCAUGGUGUUCUCGAACCGUUCCUUAUCAUCCGUCAACGGCGUUUAUGUUUUGGGUAAUUACAGGACCCGUCUUGAAACACGGACCAAGGAGUCUAGCAUGUGCGCAAGUCAUUGGGAUUUUAUUAAACCUAAAGGCGUAAUGAAAGUAAAUAUUUAUGAAUUUUCGUAAUUCAUUGAAUUAAGGGAAGAUGGGUAACGGUUAAUAUAUGUUACCUCGCAUUCCCGGGGCGUCGCAUACUCAUUGCGAGUUGCGGCGCACCAAGAGCGUACACGCUGGGACCCGAAAGAUGGUGAACUAUGCCUGGUCAGGAUGAAGUCAGGGGAAACCCUGAUGGAGGUCCGUAGCGAUUCUGACGUGCAAAUCGAUCGUAUGAACUGGGUAUAGGGGCGAAAGACUAAUCGAACCAUCUAGUAGCUGGUUCCAUCCGAAGUUUCCCUCAGGAUAGCUGAUGCUCGGAUGUAUUAUGUAUAUGUAUGAGUUUCAUACGGUAAAGCGAAUGAUUAGAGGCAUUGGGGUCGAAACGACCUCAACCUAUUCUCAAACUUUAAAUGGGUGAGAUCUCUGGCUUGCUUAUGUGAAGCUAUGAGAUUGAAUCAAUGAGUAUCAAGUGGGCCAUUUUUG
rnacentral:rRNA from 1 species